rnacentral:rRNA from 1 species
CACCUGCGCCCCAAGUGGCAAUCAUGUUUAUUGGGCCUAAAGCGUUCGUAGCCGGAAUAGUCAGUCUUGGGUGAAAUCGCUGAGCUUAACGAAGCGACGUGCUUGGGAUACUGCUGUUCUAGGGAUCGGGAGGCGUAUGAGGUAUUCCUGAGGGACCGGUAAAAUGGGUUGAUCUCAGGAGGACCACCUGUGGCGAAGGCGUCAUACGAGAACGAGUCCGACGGUGAGGAACGAAAGCUAGGGGAGCAAACCGG